rnacentral:rRNA from 1 species
GACGAACGCUGGCGGCGUGCUUAACACAUGCAAGUCGAACGGAAAGGCCCUGCUUUUGUGGGGUGCUCGAGUGGCGAACGGGUGAGUAACAAGUGAGUAACCUGCCCUUGACUUUGGGGUAACUUCAGGAAACUGGGGCUAAUAACGGAUAGGAGCUCCUGCUGCAUGGUGGGGGGUGGAAAGUUUCGGCGGUUGGGGAUGGACUCGCGGCUUAUCAGCUUGUUGGUGGGGUAGUGGCUUACCAAGGCUUUGACGGGUAGCCGGCCUGAGAGGGUGACCGGCCACAUUGGGACUGAGAUACGGCCCAGACUCCUACGGGAGGCAGCAGUGGGGAAUAUUGCACAAUGGGCGGAAGCCUGAUGCAGCAACGCCGCGUGCGGGAUGACGGCCUUCGGGUUGUAAACCGCUUUCGCCUGUGACGAAGCGUGAGUGACGGUAAUGGGUAAAGAAGCACCGGCUAACUACGUG